rnacentral:rRNA from 1 species
GACGAACGCUGGCGGCGUGCUUAACACAUGCAAGUCGAACGGAAAGGCCCUGCUUUUGUGGGGUGCUCGAUUGGCGAACGGGUGAGUAACACGUGAGUAACCUGCCCUUGACUUUGGGAUAACUUCAGGAAACUGGGGCUAAUACCGGAUAGGAGCUCCUGCUGCAUGGUGGGGGUUGGAAAGUUUCGGCGGUUGGGGAUGGACUCGCGGCUUAUCAGCUUGUUGGUGUGGUAGUGGCUUACCAAGGCUUUGACGGGUAGCCGGCCUGAGAGGGUGACCGGCCACCUUGGGACUGAGAUACGGACCAGACUCCUACGGGAGGCAGCAGUGGGGAAUAUUGCACAAUGGGCGGAAGCCUGAUGCAGCAACGCCGCGUGCGGGAUGACGGCCUUCGGGUUGUAAACAGCUUUCGCCUGUGACGAAGAGUGAGUGACGGUAAUGGGUAAAGAAGCACCGGCUAACUACGUG